GGAUGAGCCCGCGGCCUAUCAGCUUGUUGGUGAGGUAAUGGCUCACCAAGGCUUCGACGGGUAGCCGGCCUGAGAGGACGACCAGCCACACUGGGACUGAGAUACGGCCCAGACUCCUACGGGAGGCAGCAGUGGGGAAUCUUGCACAAUGGGCGAAAGCCUGAUGCAGCGACGCCGCGUGAGGGAUGAAGGCCUUCGGGUCGUAAACCUCUUUCGGCAGGGACGAAGCGAUCUCGUGACGGUACCUGCAGAAGAAGCCUCGGCUAACUACGUGCCAGCAGCCGCGGUAAGACGUAGGAGGCGAGCGUUGUCCGGAUUCAUUGGGCGUAAAGAGCGCGCAGGCGGCUUGGUAAGUCGGAUGUGAAAUCCCGAGGCUCAACCUCGGGCCUGCAGUGGGUACGGGCAGACUAGAGUGCGGUAGGGGAGAUUGGAAUUCCUGGUGUAGCGGUGGAAUGCGCAGAUAUCAGGAGGAACACCGAUGGCGAAGGCAGAUCUCUGGGCCGUAACUGACGCUGAGGAGCGAAAGGGUGGGGAGCAAACAGGCUUAGAUACCCUGGUAGUCCACCCCGUAAACGUUGGGAACUAGUUGUGGGGUCCAUUCCACGGAUUCCGUGACGCAGCUAACGCAUUAAGUUCCCCGCCUGGGGAGUACGGCCGCAAGGCUAAAACUCAAAGGAAUUGACGGGGACCCGCACAAGCGGCGGAGCAUGCGGAUUAAUUCGAUGCAACGCGAAGAACCUUAC
rnacentral:rRNA from 1 species